GAGCAGUCGGGCUAGGGCCCGAGUUCCACGCCCAGCUGGCCGGCUGGAACGCCACCAAGCCGCAGGCCUUCUGCCUUCAAGCCAGAGCUGCUAUGCUCCGGUAGCCCGGUCAACGAUACAAUACCACGACCUUUGGUGAGAUCGACGCCACUUCUGUAACCGUCUCGACUCCGCGUGAGACUGGUGUGCGCCCACACGCUCGCGGUCUGCCCGAAUUUGCCUGAUAACGUUAGCAUUCUAGCUCUGUGUGUUUCUAAUUGUGAGGCUUUCAUUGAGUGGUUUAUUGUUUUCUUUUCGUUUUUAGUUAUAUUGAAAGUUUUGUGUGUACGUUGUGUGUGAGGCGUUGUGUGUACAAACGCAUUUGUCCUCAAUAGGGUUCUCGGAGGCUCUGCCUCAGAGAACCGUCUAAACCAUUAAAUAAAAGAACCUGUCAUCACAUACUCAUAUUGCUACGUACAACUCGAAUAAGAUGAUGUCGACCUUUAAAUUAAGUGGGACGUACCCAUAAGUGGCCCCUGGCUGAUCUGAGGACGAUGGUAUGACUUGCCGGAUAUUGCCUGGCUUUCAUGUUGGCCAGUGCUUUCUACCUCUUGUAAAUACACCUUGUAAAUAGUUUCCCUGCUGUCCUUCCACGUAACAUUUAUUUGGUAGAGGUCCUGGGUCCCUCUAACGAAGGAGCUUCGCAGCGAAGGCCACCUAGAGUCUACCACCAUGCCGCCAAGUGAUGACACAUCGCCGCUAGUUGCGCCAGCGACCACUACCCAGUUUGUCGCCCUCACAUAGCCCCACCAUCCCGGUACCUUUUUCUUUCUCGAGGAAAAAAAACCCAUAAACCCGAUACCCGACCCAUAAACCCGAUACCCGACCCAUAAAAGUCGGGUAUCUGCGUAUUGCUCCGUAUUCCGGCGCCCUGCACAUAAUCCUUUGCACCCAAUGUCCCCAAGGAAGGUACCCGCUACGCCCAGUCCCCUCCGCCUUAUCGCCGUCUAUCUCCUUCAUCGACUCGCCGCCGCUCUCCUUCGGCGUCCUUUAGCCGUCGCUUUUCGCAGGAAGCCUAGACUGCAUGGCUUUUGGAGGUAAAGUUGCACUGCUCACCUUGACCCAUACCUUCGUUGCCUUUACGUGCCCACCAGCAAAUUCUUGAAGUCCAUGUCAACGGCGUCCCUGUCAGAGCUUUGGUUGAUACUGGGGCGCACGUCUGUGUCAUGAUUGCCAGCUUUCGUCGUCGUAUAUAGGUCAUUAGGCCUCUCACGACCCGAGUGGUAUGUGUCGCUGACGGUGCAACGGCUACUUUUAGGAUGUGCCCAGCUCUGGUUACCAUUGCUGGUCACCAGGCGGUUGUUGUUUUUACGGUCCAAGCGCAGGGCCCUCUAGACCUCGUACUUGGGUUUGAUUUUCUUUCUGCCUAUUCCGAUGCGAUUGAUUGCUCCGCUGGUAUCCUCCGCCUUGAACUGCUUCGUCUCUAUGAACCCAGUGACCAACCUGCUCUGUCUCGCUUACAUUGCAGCGACGUUGUUCGCCUACCAUCUAAAACCGUGACGUAUGUCGAAUUAUCAUGCACGCCAGGUGUCUCAGAUGGCGACUACUACGUGACGCGUCUUACAGACGUCCUGCUCACUCACAGUAUUGCUGCACACUACACUGUCCUGAGAUUUACGGUUAUCAGAACCUGUAUGCCACUUGUGAUUUGGGGUGUCGUGAAUCAGGCACUUCCACAGGGGCUUUCAGUAGCUCACAUUUCAGCUAGAAGCUUUUGCACAGGAUGAUCUAUAUCUUCAGAAGGGUUCUCCGACGCCGACAACGUCUGGCAACCGCGAAGUUCGCAGCAUAAUGACCAUUGACCUUCCGCGUGAGCACACAGAAUCCCUUAGACGUGUGCUCAAGUAGUACCGAGCUAUGUUAGACUUCGGUAAUCGGCCUCUAGGCAAGACGUCCGUACACACGGCGAUACACACAGGCGAUGCGACGCCUGUUCACCGACGCCCCUAUCGAGUAUCUGCGUCUGAGCGAAGUGACAUCCAGCAGGAAGUCAACAAGAUGCUUGCGAAGGACAUUAUCGAUCCAUCAACCUGUGCUUGGGCUUCCCCUGUUGUUUUAAUUAAAAAUAAAGAUGGAUCGUUGUGAUUUUAUGUUGAUUAUUGCCACCUCAACAGCAUUACGAAGAAAGACGCUUACCUGUUACCGAGAAUUGAUGAUGCGCUUGAUUGUCUGUAUGGUGCUGCUUACUUCUCUUCUAUCGACCUUUGAUCUGGGUGCUGGCAGAUAGCUGUGGACUCAAUGCACCAAGAGAAAACGGCUCUUGUAACUCUGUAUUGGCUUUGCCUGUUCAAGGUCAUGCCUUUUGGUCUGGUAUGCCGCAGCCACAUUCGAGAAAAUUAUGAACUGUCUGCUUCAUGGGUUGAAGUUGUACACGUGUUUGUGUUAUUUAGACAAUUUAAUUGUUUUCGCCUACGUUAGAUACACACCCUGAACGCCUGUCAGCAAUUCUUGACGCUUUCCACCGUGCCCGACUUCAGCUGAAUGCGUCGAAUUUUCGUUUUGGCCGUCACUGCAAUACGAUCCUUGGCCAUAUUGUAGAUGCUGCCAGCGUACACAUUGACUCGGAGAAUAUUCUAGCUGUGAAAGGACUCCCUGGGCCGAAGUUUGUCAAAGCUUUUCGCAGCUUUGUGGGGAUAUACUCUUAUUUUCGCCUGUUCGUGAAUAAUUUUGCAGUGAUUGUAAAACCACUCACAUCCAUUCUUAAACAAGAUGCCCCUUUUAUCUGGGGCCCUGCACAUGCAAGCCAUGGCUUUCUCCGACCUAACCACACUCCUCGCAACGCCUCCCAUUUUGGCCCACUUCAACCCAUCCGCUCAAACCGAAGUCCGCCCUGACGCGAGUGGUUACGGAAUAGGCGCUGUCUUGGCCCAACGUCAACGUGGAGCGAACUGCGUCAUCGCCUAGGCCAGCAGGCUGCUGUCCACAUCGAAGCGAAAUUACCCAACUACAGAACGUCAGUGCCUCGCUCUUGUAACGGCAGUAGAAAAAUUUCGCCCUUAUCUAUUCGGCCUACCGUUCACUGUAGUUUCCAACCACCAUGCUAUCUGUUGGCUCACCUCUUUCAAAGAUCCUACAGGCAGACUCGCACGAGGCUAGGCGCCUGCAAGAGAACACCUACACUGUCGGGAACAAUCCGCACAAAGAUGCAGAUUGUUUGUUCCACUGCCCUGUCGCCGAUUCUGACUGUUCGCGCACUAAAUCCGUCGAUUGCGUCUUUUCCAUGAAGUAUUUUCUUAAAAUCGCUGACGAACAGUGUCCAGAUGCCUACUUACGACAAAUGAUCGAGGGCCUGGCAUUCUGUCUCAGCGACGUCUCCGUGCGCAAGUUCACCCCGAAGGGUGGUAUCUUGUACCGGCGUGACGAGUACCCUGAGUGUCCUGAUCUUCUUCUAGUUACACCAUCACACCUGCACAUUUAUUCGCGAGAUUCACAACGCCCCAACCGCUGGCCACCUUGCUGUCACGCUCACACAUGACCGCGUACACCGUCGCUUCUAUUGGCCUGGCCUAGCCCACUGCGUGCGGCGUUACGUAAGCGCCUGCUAGUUCUCUCAACGCCUUAAGAAACCGUUUACGCUUCCUUCUUGGUAUCAUAAACCCAUCGGCGUCCCACCCGAGCCCUUCUACCGUGUCGGUUUGGUCCUUCUGUGAUCCUUUCCUACAGCUGGCUCAGGAAAGAAAUGAGUUGUCGUCGCUACCGCUUACGCGUCGCGCUACGCAAUCACACGAGCGCUGGCGACCACCUGUGGUACAGACGUGGCGGAUUUUCUCCUCGAUGACCUAAUGUUAGUACACAGUGCCCCAAGUGAAUGGCUGACUGACUGAGGCCGUACCUUCCUGUCUAAAGUCAUCCAUGAUACCACCACGUCAUACCACCUCCAGACGAACGGGCUCACCGAGCGCUUAAAUCGAACCUUAACAGACAUGCUUUCAAAGUACGUGUCGGCUCACCACCAUGAUUGGGACUUUGCAAUGCGAUACGUGAUGGUCGCUUAUUAAGGCGAAAGCCCUGUACGUCUCAUCGUUCAGUCGACCUUCAAUGUCCUUGAGCGAAAACCGUGUCGUCGAAGUAAAAUCGUACGUGAUGACGACUUGGUGUAGUAAUUCACUUAUUACACCGACCCCGCGUCGUGUAUUACAUAUAUGCAAACAUCCACGAACCAAUUCUGAUGAUGUGCGAGUCACCAUCGUCAUCGUCUUCUAUGAGCAAGCAAGCAACGCUCGCGUGGCAAUUCUGAUGGUGCGCGGGUUUCUGUUGUGAGCGUGUUAAGAUAGAGUUACUAGACAGUCAACCGAUAAGCCCAAGCCUCUACGGAGUUGCAAGAUAGAGUUAAUUUAGGCACACUAAGCUACGACCUUCGGUGGGAGUCAAACCCUCGAGUUUAUGUGGGAGUCAAACCCACCACCUUUGGCGUUAAGGCGAAGUUAAUUAAGGCACAGUUAAAUAUUAUUGAGGUAAUUAAGGCACUCGAAACCACGACCUUUGGUGUUAAUUAGGACGAGGUUAAUUAAGGGACGGUAAGUUAAGGUAGCGUCAAUUAAGGCACUCGAACGCGCAACCAUUUGUCAGAAAAAAACAAGUAAUAAGAAGUAACAAAGCAUUCGAAUGAGAAUGUCAAGUAAUUUAAUAAUUGUCUCUUAAGCGCGCAAGCCUUCACCCUAUUUGGCGUAUGCUUAAGUGACUGUUAAUUUUUUAUUCCUACUGCCAUGACAGUGCUGGAUACUCUCGCUUUUACUUUUUGUUCGGACGGGAACCAACUUUACCGUUGGACACAUUUCUUCCUUUACCUGCAACUUCGACUAGUGAAUAUGCCCGCGACGCCAUUGCAUGUGCAGUUUACGGAGGGCAGGUAGCCCACAGGAGACUUGUUGCUCCCCAGUACAAUCAUAAGCGCCUUUACAACCAGCGACACCACGACUGAAGUUUUUCUACUGGUGCAUUCGUGCUACUUUGGACCCCCUUCCGGUGUGUGGGCCUUUCUGAAAAGCUCCUUCCGCGAUACAUAGGACCAUACCACGUCCUUCUACAAGUGACUGACGUCACGUAGGAUAUUCUGUCCACUUGUCUCACACCAUGUUCUGUUUUGUUCUCCAGCGACGUCAUCCAUAUUUUGAUGCUCAAGAAUUAUGACCCGUCCUCUGCUGUGGGUCUUCAGUAGCGCCGGGCCAGCGCUUCUGCCGCGGGGGGUCGUGAUACGUGCUACACGAUGAUGAGGUUGCCCUUCAGAUUUAGUGGGACAUACCUAUAAGCGGCUAAUGGCUGAUCUGAGGACGACGAUGUGCCUAGAUGGAAGAUGGCUAGCUUCCUUGCUGGCCAGUGCUCGCUACCACUUGUAAAUACACAUUGCAACUAGUUUCCUUACUGUGCUUCCACCUAACCGUAUCAUAAGAAGACACCAAACAAGCACCAAGGACAGCAUGGGGGAGGGUACUUGUACUUAUUAAUUGAAAUAAAGGAAUGAUCAAUUAAAGGUAAUUAAAGUGAGCAAACAGAUACAGUUUUCUGUUGCUCAAAACGUGCUACAUAAAAGUGUUUUUUCCGAGUAUGAAAGAGGCCGCGAAUAGACACAAAAUUGCCGCACGGCUGGCCGCUCGAGGCAAUUUGAGUGUACUCGCCGGCUUCUUCAGCGCUCGGAAAAACACAUUUAUGCAGCAUGUAAUGAGCGACACAAAAGCUGUAUCGGGAGUUUUUCGUGUUGCUUUACAAUUUUUUCAUUGACACUUUUAAUGUAAUUUUAAUAUUUGAGAAGUUCUUUAAUUAUUUAACACUAGUUAUGUGAUAAAGCAGAAUGCAACAACAUAAUCUCCGUAUCUUCAAGCGACGGCCAACCACAUCACCUUGGCUCUGUCCAGCUACGUGGCAUUUGCAUAUUCUUACAGUUUAAGUAAAGUUACGUGGCACACUCUUAUAUAUUUUCUUUCGUGGGUCACCCGUUCCUAAUGAAGUCGCUUAAUGCAAGUUUAACUUUCAUUUUGUCAAUCGUUUCGAGAGUGAACUGUCAAGGGCACGGUAGGUUAUUAGUUGUGUAAAUUAUGAAUUUCGGUUUGAAGCACCGAAAUAUUUCAGGUGAAGAUUUUAGGAAAGCAUAGUGUGCACUGACAAUUUUUUUGUUCUUGUUAUUGUUGUUUAGAAAAAGAAAAGCAGGAAUACGAAACUGCGACAAUAUCGCCAAAGCAUUCGCUGGACAUUUUCCCUCGGUUUUCUUGAAUACUCCGGAUGCUACCACCUCUGGUGACUGGCAGUAUAGCUUCAGUGACCAUUUUUACCUUUCACGUUUUUCAGAAAAGGAAAUGGCUGAUUACAGAG